AUUGAACGCUGGCGGCAUGCCUUACACAUGCAAGUCGAACGGCAGCACGGGAGCAAUCCUGGUGGCGAGUGGCGAACGGGUGAGUAAUAUAUCGGAACGUGCCCAGUCGUGGGGGAUAACGCAGCGAAAGCUGUGCUAAUACCGCAUACGAUCUAAGGAUGAAAGCGGGGGAUCGCAAGACCUCGCGCGAUUUGAGCGGCCGAUAUCAGAUUAGCUAGUUGGUGGGGGAAAGGCCCACCAAGGCGACGAUCUGUAGCUGGUCUGAGAGGACGACCAGCCACACUGGAACUGAGACACGGUCCAGACUCCUACGGGAGGCAGCAGUGGGGAAUUUUGGACAAUGGGCGCAAGCCUGAUCCAGCAAUGCCGCGUGCAGGAUGAAGGCCUUCGGGUUGUAAACUGCUUUUGUACGGAACGAAACGGCCCUUUCUAAUACAGGGGGCUAAUGACGGUACCGUAAGAAAAGCACCGGCUAACUACGUGCCAGCCGCCGCCGUAA
rnacentral:rRNA from 1 species